AAUUUUACAAAUGAAUAAAACAAAAUUCAAGGAAAUUAUUUUGAAGGUUUCCAUAACUGAUAAUUUGUAAAAAUAUUAAGUUGAUUAUAUUUUCCCAGAGAGGAGCAAUAUUAAAAUAUAGUGGUACCUAGGUACUCAUUAACUUGUUCCGGAACUUGUGAAGAAUGCUGAAACCCAACAAGUACUGAACGAAUUUUUCCCAUAAGAAAUAAUGUAAUUAGAAAUAAUUUGUGAAAUUUCCCCCAAACUUUUUCAUUUUACUGGGCUAAUAUUAAUGAGGUUCUUUUGUAAUACAGAACAUUAAAGCUAAGCAGACAUGAAUUUUUAAAAAAGCAAUCGAUUACACAAUAAAAUAAAAUUUAACUUUACUUGACCUGUACUGAAAGGCAUUCUUGGCAUAAUGGGAGGGUGGUAAGGUAGAGGAGGAGGACAGAGGUUAAUUGUUGGAAGAGGAGUCCUCUUCCAAAACAAUUUCA